rnacentral:rRNA from 1 species
GACGAACGCUGGCGGCGUGCUUAACACAUGCAAGUCGAACGGAAAGGCCCUGCUUUUGUGGGGUGCUCGAUUGGCGAACGGGUGAGUAACACGUGAGUAACCUGCCCUUGACUUUUGGAUAACUUCAGGAAACUGGGGCUAAUACCGGAUAGGAGCUCCUGCUGCAUGGUGUGGGUUGGAAAUUUUCGGCGGUUGGGGAUGGACUCGCGGCUUAUCAGCUUGUUGGUGGGGUAGUGGCUUACCAAGGCUUUGACGGGUCGCCGGCCUGAGAGGGUGACCGGCCACAUUGGGACUGAGAGACGGCCCAGACUCCUACGGGAGGCAGCAGGGGGGAAUAUUGCACAAUGGGAGGAAGCCUGAUGCAGAAACGCCGCGUGCGGGAUGACGGCCUUCGGGGUGUAAACAGCUGUCGCCUGUGACGAAGCGUGAGUGACGGUAAUGGGUAAAGAAGCACCGGCUAACUACGUG